rnacentral:tRNA from 1 species
GGAGAGAUGCCCGAGCGGUUUAAGGGGCACGCCUGGAAAGCGUGUGUGCUGAAAGGUACCGAGGGUUCGAAUCCCUCUCUCUCCGCCA